CACCAGCGUAGCCGCAGCAGUGAGCGUCCCUCCCCCUGCCUGUCCUAUGGUAAGGGCUUCACUUGCCUUGACCACCUGCUGGAACACCGGCGAGUCCACACCGGCCAGCUCCCGUUCACCUGCA